CUCAGGAUGAACGCUGGCGGCGUGCCUAAUACAUGCAAGUCGAACGCUUUGUGGUUCAACUGAUUUGAAGAGCUUGCUCAGAUAUGACGAUGGACAUUGCAAAGAGUGGCGAACGGGUGAGUAACACGUGGGAAACCUACCUCUUAGCAGGGGAUAACAUUUGGAAACAGAUGCUAAUACCGUAUAACAAUGACAACCGCAUGGUUGUUAUUUAAAAGAUGGUUCUGCUAUCACUAAGAGAUGGUCCCGCGGUGCAUUAGCUAGUUGGUAAGGUAAUGGCUUACCAAGGCGAUGAUGCAUAGCCGAGUUGAGAGACUGAUCGGCCACAAUGGGACUGAGACACGGCCCAUACUCCUACGGGAGGCAGCAGUAGGGAAUCUUCCACAAUGGGCGAAAGCCUGAUGGAGCAACGCCGCGUGUGUGAUGAAGGGUUUCGGCUCGUAAAACACUGUUGUAAGAGAAGAAUGACAUUGAGAGUAACUGUUCAAUGUGUGACGGUAUCUUACCAGAAAGGAACGGCUAAAUACGUGCCAGCAGCCGCGGUAAUACGUAUGUUCCAAGCGUUAUCCGGAUUUAUUGGGCGUAAAGCGAGCGCAGACGGUUAUUUAAGUCUGAAGUGAAAGCCCUCAGCUCAACUGAGGAAUUGCUUUGGAAACUGGAUGACUUGAGUGCAGUAGAGGAAAGUGGAACUCCAUGUGUAGCGGUGAAAUGCGUAGAUAUAUGGAAGAACACCAGUGGCGAAGGCGGCUUUCUGGACUGUAACUGACGUUGAGGCUCGAAAGUGUGGGUAGCAAACAGGAUUAGAUACCCUGGUAGUCCACACCGUAAACGAUGAGUGCUAGGUGUUUGAGGGUUUCCGCCCUUAAGUGCCGCAGCUAACGCAUUAAGCACUCCGCCUGGGGAGUACGACCGCAAGGUUGAAACUCAAAGGAAUUGACGGGGACCCGCACAAGCGGUGGAGCAUGUGGUUUAAUUCGAAGCAACGCGAAGAACCUUACCAGGUCUUGACAUCCCUUGACAACUCCAGAGAUGGAGCGUUCCCUUCGGGGACAAGGUGACAGGUGGUGCAUGGUUGUCGUCAGCUCGUGUCGUGAGAUGUUGGGUUAAGUCCCGCAACGAGCGCAACCCUUAUUACUAGUUGCCAGCAUUCAGUUGGGCACUCUAGUGAGACUGCCGGUGACAAACCGGAGGAAGGUGGGGAUGACGUCAAAUCAUCAUGCCCCUUAUGACCUGGGCUACACACGUGCUACAAUGGCGUAUACAACGAGUUGCCAACCCGCGAGGGUGAGCUAAUCUCUUAAAGUACGUCUCAGUUCGGAUUGUAGGCUGCAACUCGCCUACAUGAAGUCGGAAUCGCUAGUAAUCGCGGAUCAGCACGCCGCGGUGAAUACGUU
rnacentral:rRNA from 1 species